rnacentral:rRNA from 1 species
GAUGAACGCUGGCGGCGUGCCUAACACAUGCAAGUCGAACGGAGCUGCGACGCUGAUGAUUGGAGUACUUGUACGAAGAGAAUCUUGUCGUAGCUUAGUGGCGGACGGGUGAGUAACGUGUGGAUAACCUGGUCCAUCCAGGGGGAUAGCAGCUGGAAACGGCUGGUAAUACCGCAUAAGCGCACAGUAGGGCAUCCUACGGUGUGAAAAGAUUUAUCGGGAUGGAAUGGAUCCGCAUCUGAUUAGCCAGUUGGCGGGGUAACGGCCCACCAAAGCGACGAUCAGUAGCCGGCCUGAGAGGGCGGACGGCCACAUUGGGACUGAGACACGGCCCAGACUCC